GAAGAUCUAUUUCUACCUUACAUUGAUUGCUAAGCCUAAAAAGAAAUAUUAAUUAGAGAAGAGGUUUUCCUUCGAGGGCACCCCUCAGUCUCUAUGAUAAUUUCUUCAUGUCCCCCAGGGGCCAGGGGGCCUUGCUUAUAUAGUCCUCCCCUUCUAUGCGUUUUUGGGUCGAUAGGCGAGGUGGUACUAUGUUUUUCUUGAUCCAAUAGGUCGGUGGAAUAUCCCGAGCGAAGGAGUCCUGAAUUGGCUCCAACAGGGGGGCGGGCGCCCAGGCUACCAGGGCGGGCGCCCUGGGCCUGGCCCAGCUUCGCCUCCGCUUCGGUCUCGUGGCUUCUGGAGUCUUCUAGAUGAUGUAAAAUUACGCGGUGCGUUGAUAUCUCUAUGUAAUCCUGACAUGUGGGCCUUUCUUCCUUAUUUCCUGAUAACCCCCUGCAGAAACAGAUAAACAACAAAACUCGUGGAAUUCUGUUAGAUCAAACCUUAAUUCUAGGUGAUGGUUGCAUAUUGGUCCUUUCUCUUGUUUAUUUGAUAAUUAAAAUUGAUACUUAAGAACCGUCAACAAAUACCCCCAUACUUAGGCUUUUACUCGUCCUCGAGAAAAGGAUGGUUGAGAAUAAUAUCUGGGGUAAACAUUUAAAACAUUCUGGUGUUAAAAAUUCCACUGUGUACCAUAGUCAGGGAAGUAUAUGGUUAAGAGUAAAGAUCCUUUCUUCUCAAUCCUGUCACUUGGAGUUUUUGUAUAUUUUUGAAAGAAAAUUAGCAUACCUUUUUAUCCUCAUAGGUUCUCUCAGAUCACUCAUUAUCUUUUAUAUAUCUCACUGAGGCUGUUUUAUUUUGCAAAAAUUCUCAAGCAUACUUACUUUGCAUUUAUUGCCUGAUCAAAACGAGAUCCGAGGAGGGGAAUGUCAUACUCUUAGAUCAAAGACUUUGAAAAUUAAAAACUUUGUCAACUCUUGCUGGCAUAUUGCUUAUUAGAGGGACCAUGGGCUAUCAUUUUUUUUCUUUUUAAGUGGAUACCGAGGUACCCCUAAUUCUACUGCCGGACACUUGUCCAUUUUUUUUUGCGAGGUUGUCGAGCACUUGCUCCUUUUUAUUUCCUCGAAAUAUCUUCUAUUUUUGCAUAGCCCAUGCCUCUAAUGCAAUAAUACUUCAGAAGAGUGAAUCUUACUGAAAUAAUGUCUUGAUCUUGGGAGCAUGAUAAAUCUCUCAACAAGGGUCUAACUCAUUUUGAACAAACUCAAUACAGAGCAGAUAGCUUUUAUAAUCAUAAUUAAUAUUUAAGUUUUAUCAGGCAUAUAAAACACUGAGGAUGGUAGCUAGAAAUUUGAAUAUUUUGAAAUAAGUUCUCCAAGUAACAAUGAUAUCAAGAAUAAGAAACUCAUACUCUACCAUCACAUAUUCCAUAUUGACUUAAGUAACACAGGGUUUUAAAAUGAUUCCCAAUAAUUGCAAGUUUUCAGGAAAUAUCACAGAUUGAGAUUAAUCAUGAUUAGAAAUAUUUUAAUCUUUUUAAUUUAUCAUGUCGGAAACAAUAUUCUGCAUAAUCCAAAAUAAAUGUAUGUGUAAAGUAAAGUGUGCAGAGUGUGUACCUGAGUGGUGGAGUGAUGUAAUCGGAGUGUGGUUGGCAUGUCGAGGGAUCUCCCCCAUACUUGUUUUCUGCUUUCUUGUACAAAAAUAAAGUAGAGACACACAAGACAUAAUAAUAAUACUCUUUAUUGAUCUUGAGGCAUUUAUUACAAAAGACUGAUAACAAACUGAUAGCAAACUGAUAAUAAUAGUAAACUGAUGAUAAUAGUAAACCUAAACCGAAUUUAAAGAUAAAUGACUAAGAUGCAUUGCCUCAAGGUCUAAUCUAGAUAACUUAGCGGCGCUCUAAUUCCUUGAUCUUCUUGUUGGCACUGGCAAGAUCCUGUCUAAGGCCUAGUAUAACGGUGUUGUGGUUAGAGAGCUGCCUAGUG
rnacentral:lncRNA from 1 species